UGUAGGCUGCUGGUAAUCUAAACUGCCUUUCUUCUUUCAAAGACUUUAAAUAGCUGAAGAACUCUUGUUCUUUACUCUAUUUGCUAAUGUGCGGAAAAUAUAUCUACAUCAUAACAAGAUGAACUAAGCACAGGACUUUUUUCCCCCUCACCUAUCAUACAAAUACCUUAAGAAAACAGCAAGGAAGCUCCAAAUGCCCAGAUUCAUCUCUGCAACAUGCACUUUAGUCAUUUAUGUGACUCCACAGAGAUGAGAACAUGUUGUCCUCCUCAUGGCUUGCUUUUUUAUAAUGGCAAGGAGUUAUUGGAAUAAUUUUGAAAGAAAACAGAGAAAUGUUGUCAGAGCUGGUGGUUGUAGUCACUGCCCUUCAGUUGAGCUAGCUGGGAAGGAACAACUCAACUCUUCUGUGAAGAUACUCGGCCUUCAAAGCAAAGUGCAGACACGUGUCGUACACAGCAAAGGCAAGGCCAGUCUCAUCAGAGACUUGAACUAUGAGAGAAGCGUAUCUUCUGAGUAUUGCACUGAGAAAGCACCAGAGCUAGGUAGGAGGAAAAGCCACAGCAGCACUGCAGAAAUGAAGAAAAGCGGCAGGACAUGCAGACAGUGCAUACCUACAAGAGGCCAAGGGUGAGCACAAGGAAUGGGCUCUGGCUGAAAGAGGUCUCACAGGCAAUGGGAUAAAAUUCUUCUAUUCUUCUAGUUGUUUGACUUGUUCUGUGGUCAGAAGAACAGAUCUUUGUCCUUUUCUGGUAAAUACACAGAGUUACAUAAAAGUAGCAUGUGACUCUCACCAACAAUUUCUCCUCAAUUAGAAUAACCUAGCAUAUCUCAAAUUUUUAGCUAGCCGUAAACUUCAACAGAAGUAGCUCUAAUAAUACAAAAACACAGGGAGUGCAAUACUGGUCCAGAACAGCGGUCCAGCAUGUCCACUCUUUCACAGUUAAGAGCCUUACACACUUGUGAAAACGAUGCAAUAGGAAUGACUAUUAUUAUUAUAGAAUAAUCUACCUGAAUGGGACACCUAAUUCUCUACUCACAGGCUUCAAAAGCUAAAGCUUUAUGAAGAAGUCAUGCAUGCAUCAUAUUACACUUCUUUCUGUGCAUUGGCACAAAGAUAAAACAAGUGUCCAAACAUUGACUAUACAAUUUAGAAGUGUAAUGACAUGUCUCUCUACUUCAGCUUUUAGUAACCAAGGUCUCUGCUGAAACAGGUAGUAGAAGAUCACCAGAUGCCAAAGAAAUUGGGUUUAUUCCAGCACAGAAUUUGGCCCUUUAUUCUUAGUGCAGACUUAUCAGAGGUGUGUGCAUAACAGGAAUGCCAUGACAAAGUUUCUGGAUUCCUUGUUAGCCAUAAACAGUUGAGCAAGACUUUGGACUCUUUUUCACAUCUUGGAUCUUCUAUCAGUUCUAAUAAAGGAGAAGAAACAGCUUUUUACACAGCACCAUCACCAGGAGUUAAAAAUUACAGUUAUACAACAGUCACACCACUAUCAUCAAAGGAUGACUUUCAGUGAAAUGUCCAUGAAGACAGUUUCAUUGUUUGAGAGCUCAUGCAAAUGCUGAACAAUGAAACUCAAUCUGAUUAUCAAAAAAAUCAAACCUGUAUGACCGUCUCACAAACUGUGUUAUUCAAUUAAAACUUCUCAGCUCUC